rnacentral:rRNA from 1 species
GAAUUGUUCACAAUGGGCGCAAGCCUGAUGACGCAACGCCGCGUGGGGGAUGAAGGUCUUCGGAUCGUAAACCCCUGUCGAACGGGACGAAAGACCCGGGAGCUAAUCAUCCUGGGAGUGACGGUACCGGUAAAGGAAGCCACGGCUAACUCUGUGCCAGCAGCCGCGGUAAUACAGAGGUGGCAAGCGUUGUUCGGAAUUACUGGGCGUAAAGGGCGCGUAGGCGGCCAUCUAAGUCAGACGUGAAAUCCCCCGGCUUAACCUGGGAACUGCGUCUGAUACUGGACGGCUUGAGUAUGGGAGAGGGAUGUAGAAUUCCAGGUGUAGCGGUGAAAUGCGUAGAUAUCUGGAGGAAUACCGGUGGCGAAGGCGGCAUCCUGGACCAUUACUGACGCUGAGGCGCGAAAGCUAGGGGAGCAAACGGG